GUGCGGUGUGGAUAUGAGGGCGUGUGUCAGCCAAAGGAAGGGCAGCACAUUCGAGGUGAUCCCACACCAGCUGAACAAAUCCUCGGCCUUUUGUGUUAUGGCGGCGGGCGAGUGCGGUUCCUUGUGUGUGCGUGCGUGGCGUCGCGGUUAGUGUAGUGAUAGAUAGUGUGCGUUAGUUGAUCCUAUUGAAUGCGUCUUCCUCGCGUUGGAUUUGGUGAGUACCCGUAUCACAGGUCACACCGUGGGACUGUCACCGCUGGAGCAACCCUUCGGAAUAAAGUCAAGUACAAAUUACUGUUUCCUAGGCGUUAGGUGUUAGGCAUAGGGCGAUAGGCGGCGCGGCUAACCAUUCUCUUCCAGGUACAAACUAACCUUCUCUUCCAGGUACAUGUUAAUUAUCUAGUCUUUCCCAGUAAUGCCCUGGUUAGCACACCGUGGCGGCGAUUCUGGAGCCUCGUGCUGGUGCUGGUGGUGGUGGUGGGCGUGCACGUGCUAUCAUAUGGGUUGCGUGGUAGGUGCGUUCAGUGGUCUGGGGUGUGUUGGUGCGUGUUCUGAAGAGAUGACCGCAGACACGCUGGCUGCUGAUGACUAGAGCCGCACAGAGGCAGUGUUCUGUACAAGCUGGAUGGAAGUAUGCAAACCUCGCAAUGAAGAUGGAAAAGGUCAGCAAAUGGUUCUAUCUUGACUUUUGCCGAAAAUAAGCGUCGUGUGUGUGUGUGUGUGUGUGUGUGUAGGUAAGAUUAUUAUUAUCUUUUUUUCAGGUCUAAUUACUAGUUAUUUCUUACAGGUCAAACUAAUAU